AUUGAACGCUGGCGGCAUGCCUUACACAUGCAAGUCGAACGGCAGCACGGGUGCUUGCACCUGGUGGCGAGUGGCGAACGGGUGAGUAAUAUAUCGGAACGUACCUUAUUGUGGGGGAUAACGCAGCGAAAGCUGUGCUAAUACCGCAUAAUCCCUAGGGGGAAAGCGGGGGACCGUAAGGCCUCGCGCAAUUAGAGCGGCCGAUACCUGAUUAGCUAGUUGGUGAGGUAAAGGCCCACCAAGGCAACGAUCAGUAGCAGGUCUGAGAGGAUGAUCUGCCACACUGGAACUGAGAAACGGUCCAGACUCCUACGGGAGGCAGCAGUGGGGAAUUUUGGACAAUGGGGGCAACCCUGAUCCAGCAAUGCCGCGUGAGUGAAGAAGGCCUUCGGGUUGUAAAGCUCUUUUGUCAGUGAAGAAAACUUUAAUAAUAACACUAUUAAAGCAUGACGGUAACUGAAGAAUAAGGACCGGCUAACUACGUGCCAGCAGCCGCCGUAA
rnacentral:rRNA from 1 species